rnacentral:rRNA from 1 species
UACGGAGGGGGCAAGCGUCGUUCGGAAUUACUGGGCGUAAAGGGCGCGCAGGCGGCUGCUCAAGUCAGGCGUGAAAGGCCUGGGCUCAACCCCGGGAAUUGCGCUGAGACUGGCGUGCUUGAGUGCGGGAGGAGGAGUGUGGAAUUCCCAGUGUAGAGGGUGAAAUUCGUAGAUAUCGGGAGGAACACCGGUGGCGAAGGCGGCGACCUGGGUCGACACUGACGCUGAGGCGCGAAAGCGUGGGGAGCAAACAGG